UACGUAGGGACCAAGCGUUGUUCGGAUUUACUGGGCGUAAAGGGCGCGUAGGCGGCAUGACAAGUCACUUGUGAAAUCUCCGGGCUUAACUCGGAACGGCCAAGUGAUACUGUCACGCUAGAGUGCAGAAAGGGCAAUCGGAAUUCUUGGUGUAGCGGUGAAAUGCGUAGAUAUCAAGAGGAACACCAGUGGCGAAGGCGACUACCUGGCCUGUUUCUUGACGCUGAGGCGCGAAAGCUAGGGGAGCAAACGGG
rnacentral:rRNA from 1 species